UACGUAGGGUGCAAGCGUUGUCCGGAAUUAUUGGGCGUAAAGAGCUCGUAGGCGGUCUGUCGCGUCUGCUGUGAAAACCUAAGGCUCAACCUUGGGCUUGCAGUGGGUACGGGCAGACUAGAGUGCGGUAGGGGUGACUGGAAUUCCUGGUGUAGCGGUGAAAUGCGCAGAUAUCAGGAGGAACACCGAUGGCGAAGGCAGGUCUCUGGGCAUUAACUGACGCUGAGGAGCGAAAGCAUGGGGGAGCGAACAGG
rnacentral:rRNA from 1 species